GAUUAACGCUGGCGGCGUGCAUAACACAUGCAAGUCGAACGAUGAAACUUUAAUGAACCCUUCGGGGAGAAUUAAAGCGGAUUAGUGGCGAACGGGUGAGUAACGCGUGAGUAACCUGCCUUACACAAGGGGAUAGCCUUUGGAAACGAAGAAUAAUACCCUAUAAAACCAUAAAAGCACAUGCAAUUAUGGUCCAAGUGAUAGCGGUGUAAGAUGGACUUGCGUCUGAUUAGCUAGUUGGUGAGAUAAAAGCCCACCAAGGCAACGAUCAGUAGCCGGCUUGAGAGAGUGUACGGCCACAUUGGGACUGAGACACGGCCCAGACUCCUACGGGAGGCAGCAGUGGGGAAUUUUGCACAAUGGGGGAAACCCUGAUGCAGCGACGCCGCGUGAUUUAGAAGGCCUUCGGGUUGUAAAAAUCUUUUGUAUAGGAAGAAAAUGACAGUACUAUACGAAUAAGGUCCGGCUAAUUACGUG
rnacentral:rRNA from 1 species